rnacentral:lncRNA from 1 species
AGUAAACUAAAAAUGCCUUCUACACGUCCACCUUCUCCUACCUCCUCCCCCUCAGCAGUGCAGGUGAAUGAAGAAUGGGGGCUGCAGCCAGUCCAUAACACUUCAUCUCUGCCAUUCCUUCAUGGCUGCUCUGCCCCCGCUCCAGCGUAGGGUCCGUCCCACAGAUGCUUAUAUUUGUGAAUGUCAAUCUACUGAGAGAGGUUUUCCUUUCCCUUGCCUUCUUUACUGGAUACUGGAUGAAGGGAAAUCUCCAGGUUCAAAGAAUCACAGAAUAGUCAGAAUUGGGAAGAACCCACAAGGAUCACUGAGUCCAACUCCUGGCCCCACAUAGGAUCACCCAAUAUUUAAACCCUAUGUCUGAGAGCAUUGUCCAAACUCUGAGAGCAUUCUUGAACUCUGGCAGGCUUAGUGCCAUUACCAUUUCCCUGGCAUGCCUGUUCCAUUGUCCAACCACCUUCUCAGGGAAGAAUCUUUUUCCCAGUACCCAACCUGAACUUCCCCCCCUCCUUUGGGGCUCCAUGAAGAAGAGAUGCCACUUCUUCAUGAGAGCUGGGAGAUGGAAAAGAAGGGCUUACACAACCAUCAACAAUCAUCAAAAGAAUGGUUUAUUGCUGGGUGAUCUGACACGUGAGCCUUUAAGAUGUCCAUAUUGUUUGUCGUGUCCAAGUUAAUGAGGGGAACAGAGACUGACGCAGACAGCAAGCUGACCUGGUGCUCCUGCAGUUCUAUUGCCCUGAUUUUGUAUCAGAGAGACAAGGCACUCUGGGGAUGAUCAUGAAUCCCACAGGUAGACCCACUUCCAUCAGUUCUCUAUCUUGUUGUGGAUCUACCUCCAUAAACUCCUCAUUCUCUGGUGGACGGACUUACCUGGGCCCCUUGCAACUCACUGGAUGAUUGGUGUGCCUUAGCCACAUGCUUUUCUCUGGGCAACAGACAUGCUUGGGCCUAAUGCUGUUGUUCUCUGUCGGAUCCAUAUUCAUGACCUGCACACCACUGGUCACAUGAACACCAGCCACCGCAUUUGUGGCUUCUUGUUCCCUCAUUUGGAGGAAGAGCUCUCUAGUCUGAUUGUAAGAAUCAUUAGUAGCACCAGACUGGGAGCCUGCAGAUGGAUUUCCAAGGAGCAGCUCUUGGCCUUCCAAGGAAUCUGCCAGAAGAUGGCACUAAGGCACACGAAGGAGACAGUGAUGUCUAGGAACAUCCUGUUUUGUUCUUUUAGGUUCAGAUGCCUCCAUGGACAGAAUCUGAAACCCCUUUGGAUACCUUUUCUGUUUGGGCACCCUCGUAGGGACCGUGUUUUCAUUAGCUUCAAAGGAAUAGCUCUCUCUUUUUUCAUUGACCUGCUGCUGUUCUUUGUGCACCACCAUGGAAGGUCUGGCUUCACCUUCCAGCACUUGCUGGGUAGCAUUCUCAUCUUCAGGCUGAGACACCCCACCUCUAGGACUCAAGAUCCACAGGAGCUCUCUGAGGGGGUCCUCCUGUAGACACAGUGAAGCAGCCAAAAACAAGCCAAGUUCACGUUUGCCUGCUUCCUUGGGAAUCCAUGCAGAAGAGAUGCUGUCUCUUCACAAGGGGCAAGGACAGGGGAUGGGAAAGGAGGCUAUCCUGCACGCAAGCCCACUGGAUGUUAACGAUGGUCUCCCAGCUAAUUCUGGGCACAGAGGCUGCAGAGCGGGUAAGGAGCUGAGUACCUGGACCCUCAGUGCCACUGCUGUAACCUCACUCUGGCACAACGAUAUGCCAAGCCAGCUGUAGUGGAGGUCAAUCCACCUCCAUUGGUUCUUCAUCUGGAGUUUAUCUAUCUCCAUGGGCUGCAAAACAGUAGCCCCAGGCCAGGCCAUUGCCCUAUGGGCACAGGUGCUCUUCCUCUUCCAUUUGUUCUGCUUUGUUGAGUCUCACCACCUCUUCGGUUCUGGGAACCCAAUCUCUUUCUUCCCAUGUAAAACUGGGCAAUCAGUGCUCCUGAUUGGUGCUGGUAACCACCAGGCUCUUGGUAUCAGCUAUGGUUGUUUACCACCAUAGGUCUUGGAGCUGAAUGAGUGGGAUGGGGCAGUGGUGACUACUGUGACACCAGUAAGAUUCUGUGAUGGCCACCGUGAUGGUGGGAGUGGUUUCGGCAUGGGGUAAAAAGGGGCUGGAAGACAGGGCACAGGAUGGGAGGUAGAAGGCAGCCCCUGUGCCCAGGGGGCAGUCUUUCUCUCUGGCAAGCAAAAAGGCAUAGAGGAGCCAUCACCAAGAAAAGGGUCCUCUGCCUCCUUGACCCUCUUCCUUCUUCCACAAGGGAAUCAUUCAAGGCUGGGACACACAGCAUAUAAUGGCAGGCUCAGAGAACUCCUUUGGCCAGCACAGGGAAGAGGCUCAGGAGUAGAGCUAAUUGGCAGACCAAAGCCACGGCUUCCAUGUUAGUAUCUAGUGUCUCUUCUGUGUUUUUCUUGUUGUUGUUUGUUUGUUUGUGUAUGUGUGUGUUUCUUUCCAGUUAAUAGUUGAUUUUUUUUUUAAAUAGAUAAGGUGGAGAAUAAGACAUAAUAAUAUGAGAUGGGGAGUAAGAUUUAAAAAUUCCCCAUAUACUGAAAGUGACAAAGAUGUUCUAACAACCAAAUUCCCUUUCUUCCCCAGGUCUGGUAACAUUUCUUCAGCACCACUGAGAAAACUGUACUUCUUUGCCUCUUUGAGAGACAAGCGGCUGUAGUUUUCACAGGAAUAAAUGGGAGGCAUUACUUUCGGAGCGACGUUUCGGAGCGACACACAUUGCUGCUCUCAACUCUGACGCUCACACAGCUGCACGCAUCUUUGCGGAGUCUUGUUUCCCAUCGGUCUCCUCAGGGACAAAGCAAGAGCGGUAACACAAGCUUAUCAGAGAAUCACAAAAUCAUUAAGUUUGGAAAAGGCCUCUAAGAUCACUUAGUCCAACUGCCAACCCACCCCCACCCUGCCCACGAACCUCAGUGCCACAUCCACGUGGCUCUUGAACACCUCCAACGAUGGUGACUCCACGCCCUCCUUCGGCAGCCUGCGCCACCGCCUCACCGCUCUUUCCGAGAAGAAACUGUUCCUAAAUCCAACCUGAGCCUCCCCUAGCGCAACCUGAGGCGGCAGCAGCCCGUGGCACGCCAACCGCAGCGCAGCUGGACAGCGGCCUGCCCUCCCG